GUCACUUCCGUCACAGGGCACUCGGAACGCAAAGUCGAAGCAGGCAUCCUCUCCCCAACGCGGCCACACACCCUCGAUCUCCGCUAUAAAGCCCGGUCUCCGAUCCCCGAUGCCUUCUCGCCCCGCCCCGUUCGUCCACCGCUUCCGCCUCCUGAGAAGCGCCGCCGUCUCCCCUUCCUCCGCGCCGCUGCCGUGCAGCCGCCCGCGCCUCGCCAUCCCCUUCGCGCAGCCGACGCUCCGCGCCCCCGCCUUCGCCGCCGCCUCGUCGCCGCUGCUCCGCCCGGUCGGCGCCAGGUUCUCGCUGUUCAGCAGCAUGGCCGCCGCCGCCUCCUCCGCCUCCUCCGUCCACGACUUCACCGUCAAGGAUGCGAGUGGAAAAGAUGUCGACCUGAGCACCUACAAGGGGAAGGUUCUCCUCAUUGUCAAUGUUGCAUCCCAGUGGUAUGAACUAUUAUUACUGCUCCCUCGCAUUCUGCUCUUUAUCUUUUAUGUUCAAUUUUUUCAUGUCUUGUGAAAUUAUUUAGAAAUCGUGAUGUAAUUCUCUUAUUCACGUUCUGGUGUAUAAAUAUGUAUGGUGUGUAUAUUAUACUGUCAAGUUUGGAUUGCCAUCUGCAAAGUUGAGUAUAGUGUGUAUAUUAUACAACUUCAAGUUUAAAAUAUUGUUCUGCUAAAUAUGCAUAGUCAUCAGACUAGUUUGUGGUUUAUUGGGACCAGCAUUUGUGAUUAACAUCCGAGUUGUCUAGACAUGGAGAAAAUUACCCUGAUCAAGUUGGUUUUGGAGUUGGACAACCUGUUUUUGUGUGUGCAUAUUAAGUGUCAUGACGUUGACUUCUGACUCGUGUUCGAGUUUUAUUUAAAUCCCCAUGUGCACGGAACUCGCUCAAUUGUACACGGAACUCGCUCAAUUGUACGAGAAGUACAAGGACCAGGGUUUUGAGAUCCUUGCUUUCCCAUGCAACCAGUUUGGUGGGCAGGAACCCGGCACUAAUGAGGAAAUUGUUCAGUUUGCUUGCACUCGCUUUAAGGCCGAGUAUCCAAUUUUUGACAAGGUUGAUGUCAAUGGUGACAAUGUUGCACCUGUCUACAAGUUUCUGAAGUCCAGAAAAGGCAGUCUCUUCGGGGACAACAUCAAAUGGAACUUCUCCAAGUUCUUGGUUGACAAGGAGGGGCAUGUUGUGGAUCGCUACGCGCCAACCACCUCCCCCCUCAGCAUCGAGAAGGACAUCAAGAAGCUGCUCGCGAGUUCUUAAACCUUGUUGCUGCAUCAACUAGAUGCAUUGGUGCAUCGCCUGAAGCUUUCAGUAUAAUGUUGUAAUAAAGGCUGUGCAGUCCAAUCUCGUAGUUGUAUAUGACAUGUAAUGGAUUUCGUGGAAUGUGUUACUUCUGCUGCAGAGAUAUCCCCUCUUAUCUGUGUUUUUGUUGUGGUUGUGAGACUCCUGUUCCCGAGGAACAAGUUUGGAAUGUGAUGCACACCUGUUGUUCGUC
rnacentral:rRNA from 1 species